rnacentral:rRNA from 1 species
GAUGAACGCUAGCUAUAGGCUUAACACAUGCAAGUCGAGGGGAAACGGCAUUAUGUGCUUGCACAUUUUGGGCGUCGACCGGCGCACGGGUGAGUAUCGCGUAUCCAACCUGCCCUUUACUUGGGGAUACCCCGUUGAAAGACGGCCUAAUACCCGAUGUAAUUCAUUGAUGGCAUCAGAUAUGAAUAAAAGAUUUAUCGGUAAAGGAUGGGGAUGCGUCUGAUUAGCUUGUUGGUGAGGUAACGGCUCACCAAGGCGACGAUCAGUAGGGGUUCUGAGAGGAAGGUCCCCCACAUUGGAACUGAGACACGGUCCAAACUCCUACGGGAGGCAGCAGUGAGGAAUAUUGGUCAAUGGGCGCAAGCCUGAACCAGCCAAGUAGCGUGCAGGAAGACGGCCCUAUGGGUUGUAAACUGCUUUUAUACGAGAAUAAUUUGAUGCACGUGUGCGUUAUUGCAUGUAUCGUAUGAAUAAGGACCGGCUAAUUCCGUG